rnacentral:rRNA from 1 species
CCUACGGGUGGCAGCAGUAGGGAAUAUUGCUCAAUGGGGGAAACCCUGAAGCAGCAACGCCGCGUGGGGGAUGAAGGUUUUCGGAUUGUAAACUCCUUUUGUUAGAGAAGAUAAUGACGGUAUCUAACGAAUAAGCACCGGCUAACUACGUGCCAGCAGCCGCGGUAAUACGGAGGGUGCAAGCGUUACUCGGAAUCACUGGGCGUAAAGAGCGCGUAGGCGGGAGAGCAAGUCAGAUGUGAAAUCCUAUGGCUUAACCAUAGAAAUGCAUUUGAAACUGUUAUUCUAGAGUAUGGGAGAGGUAGGUGGAAUUCUUGGUGUAGGGGUAAAAUGCGUAGAGAUCAAGAGGAAUACUCAUUGCGAAGGCGACCUGCUAGAACGUAACUGACGCUGAUGCGCGAAAGCGUGGGGAGCAAACAGGAUUAGAUACCCCUGUAGUC